AUUGAACGCUGGCGGCAGGCCUAACACAUGCAAGUCGAGCGGAUGAAGGGAGCUUGCUCCUGGAUUCAGCGGCGGACGGGUGAGUAAUGCCUAGGAAUCUGCCUGGUAGUGGGGGAUAACGUCCGGAAACGGGCGCUAAUACCGCAUACGUCCUGAGGGAGAAAGUGGGGGAUCUUCGGACCUCACGCUAUCAGAUGAGCCUAGGUCGGAUUAGCUAGUUGGUGGGGUAAAGGCCUACCAAGGCGACGAUCCGUAACUGGUCUGAGAGGAUGAUCAGUCACACUGGAACUGAGACACGGUCCAGACUCCUACGGGAGGCAGCAGUGGGGAAUAUUGGACAAUGGGCGAAAGCCUUAUCCAGCCAUGCCGCGUGUGUGAAGAAGGUCUUCGGAUUGUAAAGCACUUUAAGUUGGGAGGAAGGGCAGUAAGUUAAUACCUUGCUGUUUUGACGUUACCAACAGAAUAAGCACCGGCUAACUUCGU
rnacentral:rRNA from 1 species